UAGGGAAGUCUUCCACAAUGGGCGAAAGCCUGAUGGAGCAACGCCGCGUGUGUGAUGAAGGGUUUCGGCUCGUAAAACACUGUUGUAAGAGAAGAAUGACAUUGAGAGUAACUGUUCAAUGUGUGACGGUAUCUUACCAGAAAGGAACGGCUAAAUACGCGCCAG
rnacentral:rRNA from 1 species